UCUUCUUCUUCUUAUUUUCUUCUUCUUCUUCUUCUUAUUCACUAUUGCAAUGAACCCUUCUUCACCACUGCAAUGAACCCCGGCACUAACAGCAACUACCAGGGUCUAGAUUUGUCUUCUUCUUAUUAUUUGUUUUGCAGAUGGGGUCUCUUUCUCUUCUAAUUUUCUUCUUCUUUUUAUUCACCAUUGCAAUGAACCCUUCUUCACCACUGCAAUGAAUCCCGACACUAACAGCAACUAUCAAGGUCUGGAUCGAGACUACCCACGAACGCAUGCAAGUGUCAGAUCCUAGAUCGACAUUAUUCCGCACCCCUGCUCACCCCGCCACUAAAAUUUGUGAUGUUCUUCUCGUCUGUAUGGUCAUCGACGUCGUGUGGUGUUUUUUGAGGAGGAGGUAUUUUCAUCGAAGCUGCUUCACAUACAUACACAGAGACCCAAAAAAGAAGAAACAUAAAAAAAAGGGAAAAAAAUGUUUGCUGAAGAGAAUGGCCUCGAAGGAGACCCACGACUUCCAACCAUUUGUGAAGCAUCAGAGUCGUUCCUUACUUCCCCAAAUAAGAUCUAUAGCUGUGGCUGUUUGGAUUCAUAAGAUGCUUAGAAAUCUGAAAUUGAUAGUGUGCCGCACAAAAGAUCAAUGAAAAGACAUACAUGAGACCAACUAUAAGCUAAUAGAAUAAAUCUAGCCAUGGAAUAAAAAAGGUCAGUAAAUAAUCUUGCAUUUUUCUUAAUGUUGUUGAAACUUAUGGUUGAGCAGGACAUAAUUGAACUUUGUUAAUUGGAGAGAGUGAGUGAAGGAUUGUUGAUGAAUUUUUUUUAAUAGCUAAUUGGUGUUAAAAAUACAUUCAUGAAAAUACUCAUAUCUCUUUAAAAAGAGUUACUUAAUGAUAAUAAUUGAACUUAUUUAACAGGGUAAAUAUGUAUGAUGUCAAUUUUUACUCAAUUUAAUGUCAAGUAUGGCAUAUAUUGUCCUAUUUCUUGCAUCGAAUAGCUUGUAUUCACUCAUAGAUAUUGUUUGUAUGCUUUAUGGAGAAAAUGAUUGUGAAACUGAUGGAAAAAAUCAAGCAAAUAGAAUUCUAGGAAGACUAUUUAUAGCUCAAAAUAUGUUCAUACCACAUAGAAAAUAAUGUUAGCACUAUGGUUAGGACAACAAUAAAGGAAAAGUGAUUUUACUAGAAUUGAGUGAAAAAUUUGUAUUAAAAUUUUGAAUGCCUCUGGAGAUAGUUGUGAUAAAUAUAACAUGUGCUUGUAUAAUAAGAAAAUUGUCAGAGUUCUUUCUAAAGAGUUCAUUAAUGAAAAGAAUCAAAUUUCCUUAUUUAUGAGUGAAGGGUGUUUUCUUAUAUGGUAACUGGGUUGAUUUUAAUAGUUAAUUCAUGUCUUCAUGAAAAGUCCUAGAAAUAUCCCUUAUUGUUUUAAAAUUUAGCUUAUAAAAAAUAUAGAGUUAGUUUAAACUUAAGAAAUGGCUCAAAUAUGAUGAAGAUAACAUAUAUUAGCUCAAAUAAGUAAUACACAUGCAUAUAUACAUUAAGUCAAGUUAUGAGCCAACCGGUUAAAUCAGUAUUUAUUCAAAUUCCACUUACUAAUAUAUGGAUCCAAUUUCUUAAACUAUUAAUGAGUUUAGCUCAAAGGAGCUCACGGAGGCAGUUCCAUUAAAUUAAACUUAUGAGUUAGCCAAACUUGUUAAAAUAAAUGUGUUAAAAUAGUUUUAUAUUUUAUAAUAGAGUAAAAUAUUUUUUACAUAUGUGAGUUGAAUUUAUACUUGAGAUUAAAGUAGAAAAAAAAAGUUACAAUAUUCAUAAAUUUAGUGUGUUGUGUUGAAUUUAUACUUGAGAUUAAAGUAAAAAAAAAUUUAUAUAUGUGAUGCCUUGGUGUGAGAUGGAGCAAUUUAUGCCGAGGAGGCAUGAGUUCUUUGAUAAUUGGAAUCUCAAUAAAAGCAUGGAACCAUGAGUUAAGCUUAGGCAUUGACUCUGCAUCAAUAAGGUUGAUGGCCACAACUUCCUCAGCUAUUCCAAUCCAGUAUGAAAGCCAGCCAUAGCAAUGUCCGCAAAGCCAAUAUUAUCACCUCCAAAGAAGUGUUUUUCCUCAAGUCCAACUUCAAGCCUCUUGAGAUUCUCUCGAGCUUCUUCUGCUGCCUUCUGUUGCUCUUCUCCUACCUUGGAAAACGCUGCCAUCUUUUGCGGUGGAACACUUUAUGGGAUAUUCACUGGAUAAAAUGAUUUCUACCUAUAUAUAUCACUUUAUGCCUGUCACACCGGAUCUUAAAUUUAUUUAUGUGCCAAUUAAGGAAGAAGGUGACCACUGGUAUCUUAUGGUCAUUAGCUUAUUGGAUGAAAAAUUAUAUCAGUUUGAUUCUAAUCUAAAUGACGAUCAAGUUGAGCCAAGACAAGAAAUUAUGAAAUCCUUGUCGCGACUUUGGUCUCUGGGUUCUUCAAUGGUUGUCUAUGAAAGAGAAGUUUAAUCCCAUAUUGUCGGGCAUCCUAAAUGAGCAAUAUAUCCGUACAUCCGUUGUGGUAGAUCUUUUGUUGGGGGUGUUCAAUGACUACAAAUACGAGUUUCAGAAGAAGAGCGAUGAGUCCUGGGCUACGCUUUAGCGUGAACAGCAUGGAGAGUAACAUUUUUGCAUAUUUAGUUAUUAUUUUCAAAAUUUGCUUUAAUCCUCAAUUGUGAACGAGAUUAGUGACAUUUAUAAUUUAUUUGUUGAAUUAUUAUUUUAAAGGAGAAAGUUUGUUUGGUCUGAAAACUUUGUUAUAUUAUUAUAUUCGUAAUAAAUACAAAGAUCAAUAAUAUUUUGCUAUUUUUAUUUUAGGAGUUUGUUGGAACAUGUGUAUAA